CACGUAGGGGACGAGCGUUGUCCGGAAUCAUUGGGCGUAAAGCGCGCGUAGGCGGCCCGGAAAGUCGGCUGUGAAAACCCGGGGCUCAACUCCGGGCCUGCAGCCGAUACGGGCAGACUAGAGUUCGGCAGGGGAGACUGGAAUUCCUGGUGUAGCGGUGAAAUGCGCAGAUAUCAGGAGGAACACCGGUGGCGAAGGCGGGUCUCUGGGCCGAUACUGACGCUGAGGAGCGAAAGCGUGGGGAGCGAACAGG
rnacentral:rRNA from 1 species